CGGCAUGCCUUACACAUGCAAGUCGAACGGCAGCACGGGAGCAAUCCUGGUGGCGAGUGGCGAACGGGUGAGUAAUAUAUCGGAACGUGCCCAGUCGUGGGGGAUAACGUAGCGAAAGCUACGCUAAUACCGCAUACGAUCUAUGGAUGAAAGCGGGGGAUCGCAAGACCUCGCGCGAUUGGAGCGGCCGAUAUCAGAUUAGCUAGUUGGUGAGGUAAUGGCUCACCAAGGCGACGAUCCGUAACUGGUCUGAGAGGAUGAUCAGUCACACUGGAACUGAGACACGGUCCAGACUCCUACGGGAGGCAGCAGUGGGGAAUUUUGGACAAUGGACGCAAGUCUGAUCCAGCCAUUCCGCGUGCAGGAUGAAGGCCCUCGGGUUGUAAACUGCUUUUGUACGGAACGAAAAGGUUUCUAUUAAUACUAGGAGCUCAUGACGGUACCGUAAGAAUAAGCACCGGCUAACUACGUG
rnacentral:rRNA from 1 species